AUGAACGCUAGCUACAGGCUUAACACAUGCAAGUCGAGGGGCAGCAUCAUCAAAGCUUGCUUUGAUGGAUGGCGACCGGCGCACGGGUGAGUAACACGUAUCCAACCUGCCGACAACACUGGGAUAGCCUUUCGAAAGAAAGAUUAAUACCGGAUGGCAUAGUUUUCCCGCAUGGGAUAAUUAUUAAAGAAUUUCGGUUGUCGAUGGGGAUGCGUUCCAUUAGGCAGUUGGCGGGGUAACGGCCCACCAAACCAACGAUGGAUAGGGGUUCUGAGAGGAAGGUCCCCCACAUUGGAACUGAGACACGGUCCAAACUCCUACGGGAGGCAGCAGUGAGGAAUAUUGGUCAAUGGACGAGAGUCUGAACCAGCCAAGUAGCGUGAAGGAUGACUGCCCUAUGGGUUGUAAACUUCUUUUAUACGGGAAUAAAGUUAGCCACGUGUGGCUUUUUGUAUGUACCGUAUGAAUAAGGAUCGGCUAACUCCGUGCCAGCAGCCGCGGUAAUACGGAGGAUCCGAGCGUUAUCCGGAUUUAUUGGGUUUAAAGGGAGCGUAGGCGGGUUGUUAAGUCAGUUGUGAAAGUUUGCGGCUCAACCGUAAAAUUGCAGUUGAUACUGGCGACCUUGAGUGCAACAGAGGUAGGCGGAAUUCGUGGUGUAGCGGUGAAAUGCUUAGAUAUCACGAAGAACUCCGAUUGCGAAGGCAGCUUACUGGAUUGUAACUGACGCUGAUGCUCGAAAGUGUGGGUAUCAAACAGGAUUAGAUACCCUGGUAGUCCACACAGUAAACGAUGAAUACUCGCUGUUGGCGAUAUACGGUCAGCGGCCAAGCGAAAGCAUUAAGUAUUCCACCUGGGGAGUACGCCGGCAACGGUGAAACUCAAAGGAAUUGACGGGGGCCCGCACAAGCGGAGGAACAUGUGGUUUAAUUCGAUGAUACGCGAGGAACCUUACCCGGGCUUAAAUUGCAACUGACUGAACCGGAAACGGUUCUUUCUUCGGACAGUUGUGAAGGUGCUGCAUGGUUGUCGUCAGCUCGUGCCGUGAGGUGUCGGCUUAAGUGCCAUAACGAGCGCAACCCUUAUCGAUAGUUACUAGCAGGUCAUGCUGAGGACUCUAUUGAGACUGCCGUCGUAAGAUGUGAGGAAGGUGGGGAUGACGUCAAAUCAGCACGGCCCUUACGUCCGGGGCUACACACGUGUUACAAUGGGGGGUACAGAAGGCAGCUACACGGCGACGUGGUGCUAAUCCCGAAAGCCUCUCUCAGUUCGGAUUGGAGUCUGCAACCCGACUCCAUGAAGCUGGAUUCGCUAGUAAUCGCGCAUCAGCCACGGCGCGGUGAAUACGUUCCCGGGCCUUGUACACACCGCCCGUCAAGCCAUGAAAGCCGGGGGUACCUGAAGUACGUAACCGCGAGGAGCGUCCUAGGGUAAAACUGGUGAUUGGGGCU
rnacentral:rRNA from 1 species